rnacentral:misc_RNA from 1 species
CUUGCGACUUUAUUGAGAUAGCGUUAUGACGUAUAUUAACAAAUCCGUUUCCAUGAAACCAAUUGCGGUUGUUUAUUGGCCGACAAGUAGUAUUUUCAAGUAUGUUUCAACGAAUCAACACAUUACGGUACUUCCCGCGCCCCGCUAAUCGUAAAAAUACAUUGUCCAUGUUUCUACAUACGGUCGGAUGAAGUGUCUACACUUAUGGCUGACUCGUAAAUCGCGAAAUCACGGACUAAUCGUGUCGUAAAUAUUCAGAAGGAGAAUGGGCAAAGUAAUCCGGAAAACAUGUACGAGCAGGAAAACGCAAAGGAUCCGGAAAAUCUGGUGUUCCCAAUCUAUGCGGAUUCAAGCAGUCUCUAAUUGCUUGACCGAACGCACGUCUAACUCCAGGAUCUACAGCUACAGCAAUUGCAGCACCUUCAACUUCUUCAACGCCUGCUCGAGUUACACCUUCUCUCACUAAACGUUCCAUAGACGCCGCUA